ACACAUGCAAGUCGAACGAUGAACCUCACUUGUGGGGGGAUUAGUGGCGAACGGGUGAGUAACACGUGAGUAACCUGCCCUUGACUCUGGGAUAAGCCUGGGAAACCGGGUCUAAUACUGGAUACGACCUUCCCGCGCAUGCGGUGUUGGUGGAAAGCUUUUGUGGUUUUGGAUGGACUCGCGGCCUAUCAGCUUGUUGGUGGGGUAAUGGCCUACCAAGGCGACGACGGGUAGCCGGCCUGAGAGGGUGACCGGCCACACUGGGACUGAGACACGGCCCAGACUCCUACGGGAGGCAGCAGUGGGGAAUAUUGCACAAUGGGCGCAAGCCUGAUGCAGCGACGCCGCGUGAGGGAUGAAGGCCUUCGGGUUGUAAACCUCUUUCAGUAGGGAAGAAGCUGGUCCUUUUGGGGUUGGUGACGGUACCUGCAGAAGAAGCGCCGGCUAACUACGUGCCAGCAGCCGCGGUAAUACGUAGGGCGCAAGCGUUAUCCGGAAUUAUUGGGCGUAAAGAGCUCGUAGGCGGUUUGUCGCGUCUGCCGUGAAAGUCCGGGGCUUAACUCCGGAUCUGCGGUGGGUACGGGCAGACUAGAGUGCAGUAGGGGAGACUGGAAUUCCUGGUGUAGCGGUGAAAUGCGCAGAUAUCAGGAGGAACACCGAUGGCGAAGGCAGGUCUCUGGGCUGUAACUGACGCUGAGGAGCGAAAGCAUGGGGAGCGAACAGGAUUAGAUACCCUGGUAGUCCAUGCCGUAAA
rnacentral:rRNA from 1 species